GCACAAUGUGGGCACUUGAUGAAUAAUUGUUGAAUAAUAUAACCACAAGUCAUUGCUUUGAAGUUCUGUUUGGGUAAGCAUUCCAUAGAGCUGAGUGUUACCUUGGGAACCACAUAUGAACUCUUACUUUGAGCAAAGACAGGUGCUGAGUAGCGUCUAUACAUGAGGUCUAACUCCCUUGACAAGAAGUGGAUGGACUGCAUUGUCCUGGUCUCAAGGAACAAAGGGCAGUGAACUCAGUGCCCAGAAAGGGUGUGGAUUGUCACUGAUAGGUGAAGUUUCCCUGGCUUGGAAAGGUAGUCGACAGCUUGCAAUUUAAAUGAGCUGGUUUUAUGGAUGGCUGCAGAAAUCCUCCUUACUCAAAC
rnacentral:lncRNA from 1 species